CCUCUACCAUCGACCCUUAACCAAUACCACACCUCUGUCAUCGACCCUUAACCAAUACCACACCUCUACCAUCGACCCUUAACCAAUACCACACCUCUACCAUCCGACCCUUAACCAAUACCACACCUCUAUCAUCGACCCUUAACCAAUACCACACCUCUGUCAUCGACCCUUAACCAAUACCACACCUCUACCAUCGACCCUUAACCAAUACCACACCUCUACCAUCGACCCUUAACCAAUACCACACCUCUGUCAUCGACCCUUAACCAAUACCACACCUCUACCAUCGACCCUUAACCAAUACCACACCUCUACCAUCGACCCUUAACCAAUACCACACCUCUACCAUCGACCCUUAACCAAUACCACACCUCUGUCAUCGACCCUUAACCAAUACCACACCUCUGUCAUCGACCCUUAACCAAUACCACACCUCUGUCAUCGACCCUUAACCAAUACCACACCUCUGUCAUCGACCCUUAACCAAUACCACUCCUCUGUCAUCCACCCUUAACCAAUACCACACCUCUGUCAUCGACCCUUAACCAAUACCACACCUCUACCAUCGACCCUUAACCAAUACCACACCUCUACCAUCGACCCUUAACCAAUACCACACCUCUACCAUCGACCCUUAACCAAUACCACACCUCUGUCAUCGACCCUUAACCAAUACCACACCUCUACCAUCGACCCUUAACCAAUACCACACCUCUACCAUCGACCCUUAACCAAUACCACACCUCUACCAUCGACCCUUAACCAAUACCACACCUCUGUCAUCGACCCUUAACCAAUACCACACCUCUACCAUCGACCCUUAACCAAUACCACACCUCUGUCAUCGACCCUUAACCAAUACCACACCUCUGUCAUCGACCCUUAACCAAUACCACACCUCUGUCAUCGACCCUUAACCAAUACCACACCUCUGUCAUCCACCCUUAACCAAUACCACACCUCUACCAUCGACCCUUAACCAAUACCACACCUCUGUCAUCGACCCUUAACCAAUACCACACCUCUGUCAUCCACCCUUAACCAAUACCACACCUCUACCAUCGACCCUUAACCAAUACCACACCUCUGUCAUCGACCCUUAACCAAUACCACACCUCUGUCAUCGACCCUUAACCAAUACCACACCUCUACCAUCGACCCUUAACCAAUACCACACCUCUGCCAUCGACCCUUAACCAAUACCACACCUCUGUCAUCGACCCUUAACCAAUACCACACCUCUGUCAUCGACCCUUAACCAAUACCACACCUCUGUCAUCGACCCUUAACCAAUACCACACCUCUGUCAUCGACCCUUAACCAAUACCACUCCUCUGUCAUCCACCCUUAACCAAUACCACUCCUCUGUCAUCCACCCUUAACCAAUACCACACCUCUACCAUCGACCCUUAACCAAUACCACACCUCUACCAUCGACCCUUAACCAAUACCACACCUCUGUCAUCGACCCUUAACCAAUACCACACCUCUGUCAUCGACCCUUAACCAAUACCACACCUCUACCAUCGACCCUUAACCAAUACCACACCUCUACCAUCGACCCUUAACCAAUACCACACCUCUACCAUCGACCCUUAACCAAUACCACACCUCUACCAUCGACCCUUAACCAAUACCACACCUCUGUCAUCGACCCUUAACCAAUACCACACCUCUACCAUCGACCCUUAACCAAUACCACACCUCUGUCAUCGACCCUUAACCAAUACCACACCUCUGUCAUCGACCCUUAACCAAUACCACUCCUCUGUCAUCGACCCUUAACCAAUACCACUCCUCUGUCAUCCACCCUUAACCAAUACCACACCUCUACCAUCGACCCCUUAACCAAUACCACACCUCUGUCAUCCACCCUUAACCAAUACCACACCUCUGUCAUCGACCCCUUAACCAAUACCACACCUCUGUCAUCCACCCUUAACCAAUACCACACCUCUACCAUCGACCCUUAACCAAUACCACACCUCUGUCAUCGACCCUUAACCAAUACCACACCUCUGUCAUCCACCCUUAACCAAUACCACUCCUCUGUCAUCCACCCCUUAACCAAUACCACACCUCUACCAUCGACCCCUUAACCAAUACCACACCUCUGUCAUCGACCCCUUAACCAAUACCACACCUCUGUCAUCGACCCUUAACCAAUACCACACCUCUACCAUCGACCCUUAACCAAUACCACACCUCUACCAUCGACCCUUAACCAAUACCACACCCUUAACCAAUACCACACCUCUGUCAUCGACCCCUUAACCAAUACCACACCUCUACCAUCGACCCUUAACCAAUACCACACCUCUACCAUCGACCCUUAACCAAUACCACACCUCUGUCAUCGACCCUUAACCAAUACCACACCUCUACCAUCGACCCUUAACCAAUACCACACCUCUACCAUCGACCCUUAACCAAUACCACACCUCUACCAUCGACCCUUAACCAAUACCACACCUCUGUCAUCGACCCUUAACCAAUACCACACCUCUGUCAUCGACCCUUAACCAAUACCACACCUCUGUCAUCGACCCUUAACCAAUACCACACCUCUGUCAUCGACCCUUAACCAAUACCACACCUCUGUCAUCGACCCUUAACCAAUACCACACCUCUGUCAUCGACCCUUAACCAAUACCACUCCUCUGUCAUCCACCCUUAACCAAUACCACUCCUCUGUCAUCCACCCUUAACCAAUACCACUCCUCUGUCAUCCACCCUUAACCAAUACCACACCUCUACCAUCGACCCUUAACCAAUACCACACCUCUACCAUCGACCCUUAACCAAUACCACACCUCUGUCAUCGACCCUUAACCAAUACCACACCUCUACCAUCGACCCUUAACCAAUACCACACCUCUACCAUCGACCCUUAACCAAUACCACACCUCUGUCAUCGACCCUUAACCAAUACCACACCUCUACCAUCGACCCCUUAACCAAUACCACACCUCUGUCAUCGACCCUUAACCAAUACCACACCUCUGCCAUCGACCCUUAACCAAUACCACACCUCUGUCAUCGACCCUUAACCAAUACCACACCCUUAACCAAUACCACACCUCUACCAUCGACCCUUAACCAAUACCACACCCUUAACCAAUACCACACCUCUACCAUCGACCCCUUAACCAAUACCACACCUCUACCAUCGACCCCUUAACCAAUACCACACCUCUGUCUUCGACCCUUAACCAAUACCACACCUCUGUCAUCGACCCUUAACCAAUACCACACCUCUACCAUCGACCCCUUAACCAAUACCACACCUCUACCAUCGACCCCUUAACCAAUACCACACCUCUACCAUCGACCCCUUAACCAAUACCACACCUCUGUCAUCGACCCUUAACCAAUACCACACCCUUAACCAAUACCACACCUCUACCAUCGACCCUUAACCAAUACCACACCCUUAACCAAUACCACACCUCUACCAUCGACCCCUUAACCAAUACCACACCUCUGUCAUCGACCCUUAACCAAUACCACACCCUUAACCAAUACCACACCUCUGUCAUCCACCCUUAACCAAUACCACACCUCUACCAUCGACCCUUAACCAAUACCACACCUCUACCAUCGACCCUUAACCAAUACCACACCCUUAACCAAUACCACACCUCUGUCAUCGACCCCUUAACCAAUACCACACCUCUACCAUCGACCCUUAACCAAUACCACACCUCUGCCAUCGACCCUUAACCAAUACCACACCUCUGUCAUCGACCCUUAACCAAUACCACACCUCUGUCAUCAACCCUUAACCAAUACCACACCCUUAACCAAUACCACACCUCUACCAUCGACCCUUAACCAAUACCACACCCUUAACCAAUACCACACCUCUACCAUCGACCCCUUAACCAAUACCACACCUCUGUCAUCGACCCUUAACCAAUACCACACCUCUGUCAUCCACCCUUAACCAAUACCACACCUCUACCAUCGACCCUUAACCAAUACCACACCUCUAUUGCAAUCAACUUUCACCCAGGUCAGAUUAAUGGAAUCCCCUCAUAGCUAAUCACUGUGAUGUCAUCAAGAUGUGUCCAUUCAGAUUGUCCUCACCUGUCUGUGUGUGUGUGUGUGUGUGUGUGUGUGUGUGUGUGUGUGUGUAUCUCUCUGUGUAACAGAGACAGUUGUUUGGUAUGGAGGCUCCAGCCACUGUUAACCUGACUGGAUGGAGGAGACAUUUCAACAGCUACACACUACAGGGGAGACGCAACUUUGUCCUGGCUACCUAUGGUGUCCUAGCGUUGUCGGCAGCAGCCUAUAUGAUACGCCAUCGGAGUAAAGAGGACCCAAGAGUAGCCAGCCCCACUGCCUGACUGGAAAGACUGACACCCCCUCUCAUCUAUCAAUGUCCCAAUGCUUUAUUGGCCUGAUAUUCACAUUGAUUUCCAAUACUACCGAAUCAGAGAUUCAUAACAGCAGCGCUCCCCCUCACUUCUGCUCCCCCUCUCUUCUGCUCCCUCUCUCUUCCCCCCGCUCUCUCUCUUCCCCCCUCUCUCUCUCUUCCCCCCUCUCUCUCUCUUCCCCCCUCUCUCUCUCUUCCUCUCUCUUCCCCUCUCUCUUCCCCCUCUCUCUCUCUUCCCCUCUCUCUUCCUCUCUUCCUCUCUCUUCCCCUCUCUCUCUCUCUUCCCCCCUCUCUCUCUCUUCCUCUCUCUUCCCCUCUCUCUUCCCCUCUCUCUUCCUCCCUCUCUCUCUCUUCCCCUCUCUCUCCCCCUCUCUUCCCCCUCUCUCUCUUCCCCUCUCUCCCUCUCUCUCUUCCUCUCUCUCUCUCUCUCUGUGUGUAUGUUAAUAAAUAGAGUUUAAUCCAGUCA